GACAGAGGGUGCAAACGUUGUUCGGAAUUACUGGGCGUAAAGCGAGUGUAGGCGGUCUGCUAAGUCGGGUGUGAAAGCCCCGGGCUCAACUCGGGAAGUGCACUCGAAACUGGAAGGCUAGAGUAUCGGAGAGGUUGGUGGAAUUCUCGGUGUAGAGGUGAAAUUCGUAGAUAUCGAGAGGAACACCGGUGGCGAAGGCGGCCAACUGGACGAAUACUGACGCUGAGACUCGAAAGCGUGGGGAGCAAACAGG
rnacentral:rRNA from 1 species